GUAUAAAUUUGUAGGAAAUAUGGGUGAAGAAGGCAUCCCUUCUAACACAUACACCAAAACAUUUGAACGCACAGGCAUUCAGACAUGGCUUCCUUCAACCAUUUCUAUUUCAAACAGGCCAUUUUGGCUUCAUUCCUUCUACUUAUUUUAUUAGGUAUGGCGAUGCAAGGGAAAGCAUUAGAAGAUUGGGAAUGCAUCCCACUUAUCGGGCCGUGUAUUGUUGCAGGCUGGCCCUGCCCAGAUGGAACUCGAGGCUUUGUUUAUGGGCCUUCUCUUUGUGAUUGCUUGCCUGCUGGCUGUUGGCAAUUUAAUUGAAACUCAUUAAUUUUCAAUUUCCUAUACAUCCCAUAUGUAUUUGCAAUUUAAUCUUCCAAUAAAUAAUUUUCAUGAAUUAUGAUUGCCUUGUAGGUGUAUAUUUCUUCGAUAUUAUUUCAACUUUAUUAAUUGAAAAUCUUUAUUA